UACGUAGGGCGCAAGCGUUGCCCGGAAUUAUUGGGCGUAAAGAGCUCGUAGGCGGCCUGUUGCGUCCGCUGUGAAAUCCCGGGGCUCAACCCCGGGCCUGCAGUGGAUACGGGCUGGCUGGAGGCAGGCAGGGGAGAACGGAAUUCCUGGUGUAGCGGUGAAAUGCGCAGAUAUCAGGAGGAACACCGGUGGCGAAGGCGGUUCUCUGGGCCUGUUCUGACGCUGAGGAGCGAAAGCGUGGGGAGCGAACAGG
rnacentral:rRNA from 1 species